rnacentral:rRNA from 1 species
AGGACGAACGCUGGCGGCGUGCUUAACACAUGCAAGUCGAACGAAGAGCGAUGGAAGCUUGCUUCUAUCAAUCUUAGUGGCGAACGGGUGAGUAACGCGUAAUCAACCUGCCCUUCAGAGGGGGACAACAGUUGGAAACGACUGCUAAUACCGCAUACGAUUCAAUCUCGGCAUCGAGGAUGGAUGAAAGGUGGCCUCUAUUUAUAAGCUAUCACUGAAGGAGGGGAUUGCGUCUGAUUAGCUAGUUGGAGGGUAACGCCCACAAGGCAAUGAUCAGUAGCCGGUCUGAGAGGAUGAACGGCCACAUUGGGACUGAGACACGGCCCAGACUCCGAGGGAGCAGCAGUGGGAAUCUCCGCAAUGGACGAAAGUCUGACGGAGCAACGCCGCGUGAGUGAUGACGGCCUUCGAGUUGUAAAGCUACGUGUUAAUCGGAACGUAAAGGUCCUACGUUGACGAAUAGUUAGAGGUAAUUGACGGUACCGAAGUAGAAA